rnacentral:lncRNA from 1 species
CAAAUAUGGGCUGGAUUUAACUUGGACUUAGCUCUUAGCCCAACUCUUAUUCAUCUUUCCUGUUGCUGAGCGUUAGGCUGCCCCACCACUACCCCGUGCCUCAUAGGUUUUUUGUUUUUUUGACAGUCUUGCUGUGUUACCUAGGCUGGAGUGCAGUGGGGCCAUCUCAGCUCACUACAACCUCUGCCUCCCGGGUUCAAGUGAUUCUCCUACCUCAGCCUCCUGAGUAACUGGGAUUACAGGCAUGCACCACCAUGCCCAGCGAAUUGUUGUAUUUUUAGUAGAACAGGGUUUUGCCAUUUUGCUCAUGCUGGUCUCGAAGUGCGGCCUCAAACAAUCCGCCCACCUCAGCCUCCCAAAAUGCUGGCGUGAGCCACUGGGCCCGGCCAGGUUUGGUUUUUCCAUCUUUACUUAAUUAAGACUACCAGCUGUUUCUACCUCCCGUAUGGAAGAUGCUGGGAAUUGAUGAGGAAACUGAAGCACAGAACUACAAAGUACCUUGCCCAAGGACACACACCUGCUGUUCCAGUCCAGAGCCCACACUCUGAACCGCUCCUUGUCCCCACCCACUGCCCAGAUCAUUCGGCUCCAUCCUGUUAUCCACUUGUCAUUCCACUGUUUGCCCAUGGUGCCUCCCAUAUGGGGAUUUAGUAAAUGCUUAUCAAAUGGGGGUGCUUAUUGAAUUUGAGAUUUCUGUUUGUUUACCAGGUUAUCCCUAGCAAGGCAUGGAGGGAAUAAGGGGGAACAACAAAAAUGCUGGAUGCUGGGCUGGGCGCGGUGGCUCGCGCCUGUAAUCCCAGCACUUUGAGAGGCUGAGGCGGGCGGAUCACCUGAGGUCAGGAGUUUGAGACUAGACUGGCGAACAUGGUGAAACCCCGUUUCUACUAAAAAUACAAAAUUAGACGUGGCGGCAUGCACCUGUAACCCCAGCUACACGGGAGGCUGAGGCAGGAGAAUCGCUUGAACCCACGAGGCGGAGGUUGCGGUGAGUUGAGAUCGCACCAUUGCACUGCACCCUGGGCAAAAAGAGUGAAACUCCGUCUCAAAAAAAUAAAUAAAUAAAAA